rnacentral:rRNA from 1 species
UUACACAUGCAAGUCGAACGGCAGCACGGGUGCUUGCACCUGGUGGCGAGUGGCGAACGGGUGAGUAAUAUAUCGGAACGUGCCCUGUAGUGGGGGAUAACUAGUCGAAAGAUUAGCUAAUACCGCAUACGACCUGAGGGUGAAAGUGGGGGACCGCAAGGCCUCACGCUAUAGGAGCGGCCGAUAUCUGAUUAGCUAGUUGGUGGGGUAAAGGCCUACCAAGGCGACGAUCAGUAGCUGGUCUGAGAGGACGAUCAGCCACACUGGGACUGAGACACGGCCCAGACUCCUACGGGAGGCAGCAGUGGGGAAUUUUGGACAAUGGGCGAAAGCCUGAUCCAGCAAUGCCGCGUGUGUGAAGAAGGCCUUCGGGUUGUAAAGCACUUUUGUCCGGAAAGAAAUCCCUUGGGAUAAUACCUCGGGGGGAUGACGGUACCGGAAGAAUAAGGACCGGCUAACUACGUGCCAGCAGCCGCGGUAAUACGUAGGGUCCGAGCGUUAAUCGGAAUUACUGGGCGUAAAGCGUGCGCAGGCGGUUUUGUAAGACAGAUGUGAAAUCCCCGGGCUUAACCUGGGAAUUGCAUUUGUGACUGCAAGGCUAGAGUGUGUCAGAGGGGGGUAGAAUUCCACGUGUAGCGGUGAAAUGCGUAGAGAUGUGGAGGAAUACCGAUGGCGAAGGCAG